rnacentral:tRNA from 1 species
UGGGGUGUGGCGCAGCGGUAGCGCAGCGGACUGUUAAUCCGUUGGUCGCCGGUUCGAAUCCGGCCACCCCAG